rnacentral:rRNA from 1 species
UGGGGAAUAUUGGACAAUGGGCGAAAGCCUGAUCCAGCCAUGCCGCGUGUGUGAAGAAGGUCUUCGGAUUGUAAAGCACUUUAAGCGAGGAGGAGGGUACUGGUAUUAAUACUACCAGGUACUGGACGUUACUCGCAGAAUAAGCACCGGCUAACUCUGUGCCAGCAGCCGCGGUAAUACAGAGGGUGCGAGCGUUAAUCGGAUUUACUGGGCGUAAAGCGUGCGUAGGCGGCUGAUUAAGUCGGAUGUGAAAUCCCUGAGCUUAACUUAGGAAUUGCAUUCGAUACUGGUCAGCUAGAGUAUGGGAGAGGAUGGUAGAAUUCCAGGUGUAGCGGUGAAAUGCGUAGAGAUCUGGAGGAAUACCGAUGGCGAAGGCAGCCAUCUGGCCUAAUACUGACGCUGAGGUACGAAAGCAUGGGGAGCAAACAGG